rnacentral:rRNA from 1 species
UGGGGAAUAUUGGACAAUGGGCGAAAGCCUGAUCCAGCCAUGCCGCGUGUGUGAAGAAGGUCUUCGGAUUGUAAAGCACUUUAAGUUGGGAGGAAGGGCAGUAAGCGAAUACCUUGCUGUUUUGACGUUACCGACAGAAUAAGCACCGGCUAACUCUGUGCCAGCAGCCGCGGUAAUACAGAGGGUGCAAGCGUUAAUCGGAAUUACUGGGCGUAAAGCGCGCGUAGGUGGUUCGUUAAGUUGAAUGUGAAAGCCCCGGGCUCAACCUGGGAACUGCAUCCAAAACUGGCGAGCUAGAGUAGGGCAGAGGGUGGUGGAAUUUCCUGUGUAGCGGUGAAAUGCGUAGAGAUCUGGAGGAAUACCGAUGGCGAAGGCAGCCAUCUGGCCUAAUACUGACGCUGAGGUACGAAAGCAUGGGGAGCAAACAGG